rnacentral:lncRNA from 1 species
UCGUGCAAUCCCGGCUGUCCCCCUCUCUCACUAGAACAUCUGCGGGGAUUGUGCCCAGGUGCAGACUGGCUCCCACACGCCCGGCGGAGUCAAAGGGGAGAAGGGCGACCAGGGCAUGCCCGGUGCCCCCGGCAUAGACAACUGCGCGCGGUGCUUUGCUCAGUUCCCGAGAGCGGAGGAGCCCCGGGGUGACCAAGCGGAGAGUGACGGUGACUGUGCUGGAGAGCCUGGGCUGCCGGGGAUCCCGGGCUUACCUGGAGAGAGGGGGGAACAGGGCCCGCCAGGGACAAGGGGAUCUCCGGGACCCUCCGGACCGACUGGCCCUCCAGGUUUUCCUGGAACGCCUGGCGCACCCGGAUUGCCUGGUCUCCAGGGCGAGCGCGGACCACCUGGGCUCACCGGCGCGAAAGGGGAACUGGUGAGUGAUGGACCUGGCUGCUGACUCCCCGAGCGCCAGUGGGGGGAGAGGGGCUAGCAG